AUUGAACGCUGGCGGCAGGCCUAACACAUGCAAGUCGAGCGGAUGAAGGGAGCUUGCUCCUGGAUUCAGCGGCGGACGGGUGAGUAAUGCCUAGGAAUCUGCCUGGUAGUGGGGGAUAACGUCCGGAAACGGGCGCUAAUACCGCAUACGUCCUGAGGGAGAAAGUGGGGGAUCUUCGGACCUCACGCUAUCAGAUGAACCUAGGUCGGAUUAGCUAGUUGGUGGGGUAAAGGCCUACCAAGGCGACGAUCCGUAACCGGUCUGAGAGGAUGAUCAGUCACACUGGAACUGAAACACGGUCCAGACUCCUACGGGAGGCAGCAGUGGGGAAUAUUGGACAAUGGGCGAAAGCCUGAUCCAGCCAUGCCGCGUGUGUGAAGAAGGUCUUCGGAUUGUAAAGCACUUUAAGUUGGGAGAAAGGGCAGUAAGUUAAUACCUUGCUGUUUUGACGGUACCGACAGAAUAAGCACCGGCUAACUUCGUG
rnacentral:rRNA from 1 species